rnacentral:rRNA from 1 species
AGUGAACGCUGGCGGUAGGCCUAACACAUGCAAGUCGAACGGCAGCACAGUAAGAGCUUGCUCUUACGGGUGGCGAGUGGCGGACGGGUGAGGAAUACAUCGGAAUCUACUUUUUCGUGGGGGAUAACGUAGGGAAACUUACGCUAAUACCGCAUACGACCUACGGGUGAAAGCAGGGGAUCUUCGGACCUUGCGCGAUUGAAUGAGCCGAUGUCGGAUUAGCUAGUUGGCGGGGUAAAGGCCCACCAAGGCGACGAUCCGUAGCUGGUCUGAGAGGAUGAUCAGCCACACUGGAACUGAGACACGGUCCAGACUCCUACGGGAGGCAGCAGUGGGGAAUAUUGGACAAUGGGCGCAAGCCUGAUCCAGCCAUACCGCGUGGGUGAAGAAGGCCUUCGGGUUGUAAAGCCCUUUUGUUGGGAAAGAAAAGCAGCAGGUUAAGACCCCGCUGUUCGGACGGUACCCAAAGAAUAAGCACCGGCGAACUUCGU